GGUUUUGUAGUGUAGCGGUCAUCACUCCGGAUUCUGAUUGACUCUGAAAAUAAGUCCAUUCCGGCAACCCAGGUUCGAGUCCUGGCAAGACCU
rfam:Pyrenochaeta sp. DS3sAY3a unplaced genomic scaffold IQ07scaffold_7, whole genome shotgun sequence.